rnacentral:rRNA from 1 species
UACGGUAGGGGGCAAGCGUUGUCCGGAAUCAUUGGGCGUAAAGGCGCGCGUAGGCGGCCCGGUAAGUCCGUUGUGAAAGUCAAAGGCUCAACCUUUGAACGCCGAUGGAUACUGCCGGGCUAGAGUCCGGAAGAGGCGAGUGGAAUUCCUGGUGUAGCGGUGGAAUGCGCAGAUAUCAGGAGGAACACCAAUAGCGAAGGCAGCUCGCUGGGACGGUACUGACGCUGAGGCGCGAAAGCGUGGGGAGCGAACAGG